rnacentral:misc_RNA from 1 species
CACAAAAAAUAAACUCAAACACCUGCGCGUCCUUGAUACACAAGCGAAGAGAUUUACGCACGUACGUGCGCGCAUGACGACAUCGCCGUCCGCUUGAAGUGCGACAACAUCUUUUCUGUCUUUUGGUUUGAGUGCGUGUGCGUGUGCGUGUCCAGAACAAAGAAAAACGUGCGACAUCACAACACGAUAACUCCCAUAGCUUUCUUUUCUUGUUGCUGUGUGUUCCUGCACAUCAGCAUACACCGGUGCGAGCGCGACGCGGAGGCGCCAUUUGAGCCCGCACUCACACCCAGAGAGCUUCUCCCUCCCCGAGUCUCUCACAGAGACGCCAUUAUUGCACGACUUGAGUGAGAUUGCGUCGACCAAGAGCACGCGAAACGCAGAGAAAACUAGUGUGCGCACGAGUCACACAAACGCGCACACGUGUCCUUCUCCUAAAACAGUCCUAAACCCGAAAGGACGAAGAAGUCAGUGUCAUGUACGCAACAGUGCCGAUUCUGACGUUGGGGCCAUACUCCCUCGCCCUUGUGGCAGGGCUCCUGCUGUACUGGAACACCUCUCUCAUCGUUUCGCGGGUGCUGACCGCCUUCAUUGUCUCCAUGAUCGCCAUGAAGGUGGACCUGGCCUUCCACCUGUUCUUUAGCUGCUGCCACCGGGUCGUCUCUCUUCUGUGCCGCUUCCGCACGUUCUGGAGCCCGAACGGCUCCCUCGACUUCCUCCAGACGCAGUCGCAGUUCUACUCCAUUGCAGACGUGGUGAGCCUUGCACUGCUGGUCGGCAACGCCCUGCAGUUUUGGACGGCCGCCUUGGUGACGCGCAUCGCCCUCUCCGCUCUUGCCACCCGAACAGAGCUAAGCAUUCGUUGGUGGCAGUCGCAAUCCGCAGCCGAGCAUGUCCUUUUUGUUUUAGGGUCUCUGUUGUGCUGCACGGGGUGCGCGCUGCAGUGGGCGUACUACACCCUUCUCCCAACGGAGGAGAGGACCCAGGGCGGGACAGGCUCGCUUCUGAUGUGGUACACGUCUAUUGUGUACAUUGUGGAAGUGGGGCUGCGCAGCGCAUGCACGCUGGCGACGUCAGUGAUGCGGAUGUGGGGUUACAGAGUACUCAAGUCUCUGGCCAGCCAGGUCGAUCUUAUCGCCGUGCGAGCACUCGAGGACUCCGGCCUGAACCCGUUCACCGAGGUGCACGACCUCUACAUGCAGUAUCUCUACGCUGUCGCGUGCGCCGCCACGGCGUGGUACUACACCUCGUCCUCUACCCCGAUGUGGAUGCAGUGCUUCAUGCUGGUGCGCCUCUACUUCAUCACGCUGGCCUCAGGCAAGCUGCACCACUAUCGCCAGGUGCUUGAUCGUUUUCCUUCCGUCGCCGCGGACCCGACGAAGACGUGUGGCAUCUGCCUCGACGACUUUGUGGAUGGAGAGAGUGUGAAAUGCCUGCCAUGUGGGCACACGUUUCACGGAGCGUGUGUGCGCUCCUGGCUCAUCCGCGCUGCUGUGUGCCCGACGUGUCGGCAACCUGCUGCGCAGUCGCGUCAUCAACACUUCGCGGCGGCUCACCAUGAGCGCAUUUCACGGCAGCCGCGGGUUUCGCUGGAUAUGCGUGUACCUGCAGCUGGCGGCGGCUUCACGGGGUCGCUGCAGCCGCUUGCCCCGCGGCUGCCAGCCGCCGCUCCCUUAGCCCGUUCAUCAAGCCGAUAUAUGAGUCGCAGCGGUGCUGACGCGCUGUCGCAGUCGCCAUCGCUUCCAGUCGAGCUUCGAAGGCUGCCACACUAUGAGGAGCUACAGCGCGUCGAUGCCAAGCGCCGGUCACUGGCCCUUCACCGCCAGCAGCAGCUCUUCUCCGAAGGCACCCGCGCCGCCGCGUCACCGCAAGAGCGUCACAAAGAAGAAACGGUGGGCCGCGUGAGAGAAAGCGCCGCUAUCGAUGCCCUUCUUUUCACGGAGACGCCGCUCCUUCCAGCAGAGUCAACGCCGCUGCCCCCGUAUCACGGCACCUCAGGACGUCGCAAACGGCAGCGACCGCCGCCGGAAAGCACCCCUGGAAGCGGCACAAGCGCGCGAAACACAGCUUCUUCUGGAGUUGCAGCGACAGAAGACUUGCCAUCGCGGCGGAGAAUGGAGUAGAGGUGCAGACUGAGAGCGCCCAGUGUCGUCACCGCCCCAUCCACCCCCACCACCACCACCACCACUAACAACACCCUCUCUCUCGCCGAUGGCGCGUGAAUGUCCGUCUCGCAGUAUUGCAUACUGCGUUGUCUCUUGCUGCGCAUCGUUCACCCAACAACACCCUCUCCUGCAUCGACGUCUCCCCCUGCCCUGUUCCCGUGCAGCACAGAAGAGAGACGAUCUGGUCGCUGCUCACCCUCUCUGCUUUGGUAUGUGAAUGGGUGUGUUUCCUUGCUCCUCUCGCGCUGUGCGGGUACUGGCCGGCUGGCCACUAUUCAACCACCCCACACACGGACUCCUCUGUUCAAAGAGCAGACGAAGAGAAGCACCCCGAUCAGCGGCUGAGCAAGGGAUGAGCCACAGAAAGAAAAGGAAGAGCGUCCCAACUCGGGUACCGUCUGCUGGAACGAAAAGAUCCAAGGUCGAAAGGCUGCAAUGGCAUGUGCUUGUGGAGGCAGCACGGUAUGGUGUCACGGACGAGGCUUGCUGCUCCGCACGCACCUAAUCUUCGCGCCGGGGAAUCGCGGGAUUGGGGAGGAAUAAGAGGAGAUGCAGCGUGCCUCCUCUACGCUGUGCAGCUCUACCCCGUGCACAAAGUAGCACGGCUGCCUGUUUUUUUUUGUUUUGUCGAUAUUGGUUGCUUCUUGUCGUACUUUUUUGAGGUGGCUGCUUCUGAAAUGUUGAUUCGUCCACGCUGCUGCUGCUGCCGCUGGUAAUGCAUGUGUACG